UGUAAGCGUAUACCAAAGUUGUUGCAGUUAAAACGCUCGUAGUCGGAAUUUGGCAGUUCCGGAAGUGUGCACGUCGUGUGCGCACUUUGCGGGGACUGCUUUUGUGGUCUUGCGUAGGAUGAGGCACUUUCAUUAGUGAACGUCCUCACGCAACCACUCUUUACUGUGAGAAAAUUAGAGUGCUCAAAGCAGGCAUUUGCCGUGAAUGUAUUAGCAUGGAAUAAUAGAAUAGGACUCGGUUCUAUUUUGUUGGUUUGUUGGGACUGAGUAAUGAUUAAGAGGGACAGUUGGGGGCAUUUGUAUUCCGGCGCUAGAGGUGAAAUUCUUAGAUUGCCGGAAGACAAACUGCUGCGAAAGCGUCUGCCAAGGAUGUUUUCAUUGA
rnacentral:rRNA from 1 species